rfam:Ipomoea nil DNA, scaffold: scaffold0398, cultivar: Tokyo-kokei standard.
AACUUAGGCACGCUCGUUCCGCACAAGUCCGCACUUAGGCACGCUCGUUCCGCAUUCAGACUGUAAACUGCACUGGCUCAUUAAAUCAGUUAUAGUUGUUUGAUGGUACUACUACUCGUAACCGUAGUAAUUCUAGAGCUAAUACGUGCAACAAACGACUUCUGGAAGGGAUGCAUUUUAGAUAAAAGGUCACGCGGGCUUUGCCCGUUGCGCGAUGAUUCAUGAUAACUCGACGGAUCGCACGGCCUUAGCGCCGGCGCGCAUCAUUCAAAUUUCUGCCCUAUCAACUUCGAUGGUAGGAUAGUGGCCUACCAUGGUGGUGACGGUGACGGAGAAUUAGGGUUCGAUUCCGGCAGGGAGCCUGAGAAACGGCUACCACAUCCAAGGAAGGCAGCAGCGCGCAAAUUACAAUCCUGACACGGAGGUAGUGACAAUAAAUAACAAUACGGCUCGAUCGAGUCUGGUAAUUGGAAUGAGUACAUCUAAAUCCUUAACGAGGAUCCAUUGGAGGGCAAGUCUGGUGCCAGCAGCCGCGGUAAUUCCAGCUCCAAUAGCGUAUAUUAAGUUGUUGCAGUUAAAAAGCUCGUAGUUGGACUUUGGAUGGGCCGGCCGGUCCGCCCCACGGGUGUGCACCGUCGUCUCGUCCCUUCUGCCGGCGAUGCGCUCCUGGCCUUAAUUGGCCGGGUCGUGCCUCCGGCGCUGUUACUUUGAAGAAAUUAGAGUGCUCAAGCAAGCCUACGCUCUGUAUACAUUAGCAUGGGAUAACAUUAUAGGAUUUCGGUCCUAUUACGUUGGGCCUUCGGGAUCGGAGUAAUGGAUUAACAGGGACAGUCGGGAAUUCGUAUUUCAUAGUCAGAGGUGAAAUUCUGGAUUUAGAAAGACGAACAACUGCGCAUUUGCCAAGGAUGUUUUCAUUAAUCAAGAACGAAAGUUGGGCUCGAAGACGAUCGAUACCGCCUAGUCUCAACCAUCGAUGCCGACCAGGGAUCUGAUGUUGCUUUUAGGACUCCGCCGGCACCAUGAGAAAUCGUCUUUGGUUCCGGGGGGAGUAUGGUCGCAGGCUGAAACUUAAAGGAAUUGACGGAAGGGCACCCCGUGGAGCCUCCAAUUUGACCAAACGGGGAAACUUACCAGGUCCAGACAUGUAAGAUUGACAGACUGAGAGCUCUUUCGAGACCUAUGGGGUGGUGCAUGGCCGUUCGUGGUGAGCGAUUGUCUGGUUAAUUCCGAACGAACGAGACCUCAGCCUGCUCUAGCGCGGAGUAUCCCUCCGCGGCCAGCUUCUUAGAGGGACUACGGCUUUCAAGCCGCGGAAGUUUGAGGCAAUAACAGGUCUGUGAUCCCUUAGAUGUUCUGGGCCGCACGCGCGCUACACGAUUAUUCAACGAGCAUAUAGCCUUGGCCGACAGGCCGGGUAAUCUUUGAAAUUUCAUCGUGAGGGGAUAAUCAUUGCAAGUUGGUCUUCACGAGGAAUUCCGCCGAGUCAAGCUCGCGUUGAUACGUCCCUGCCCGUCACACCGCCGUCGCUCCUACCGAUUGAAUGAUCCGGUGAAGUUUCGGAUCGCGGCGACGUGGGCGGUUCGCUGCCCCGACGUCGCGGAAGUCCACUAACCAUCAUUUAGGGAAGUGAAGUCGCAGGUUUCCGAGGUGAACCUGCGGAAGGAUCAUUU